rnacentral:ncRNA from 1 species
UUUACGGAGAGUUUGAUCCUGGCUCAGGACGAACGCUGGCGGCGUGCUUAACACAUGCAAGUCGAACGGUGAUGAGGAGCUUGCUUCUUUGAUCAGUGGCGAACGGGUGAGUAACACGUGAGCAAUCUGCCCUUGACUCUGGGAUAACUGCGGGAAACUGUAGCUAAUACCGGAUACGACCUUGGAAGGCAUCUUCUUUGGUGGAAAGAAUUUUGGUCAAGGAUGAGCUCGCGGCCUAUCAGCUAGUUGGUGAGGUAAUGGCUCACCAAGGCGACGACGGGUAGCCGGCCUGAGAGGGUGACCGGCCACACUGGGACUGAGACACGGCCCAGACUCCUACGGGAGGCAGCAGUGGGGAAUAUUGCACAAUGGGCGCAAGCCUGAUGCAGCAACGCCGCGUGAGGGACGAAGGCCUUCGGGUUGUAAACCUCUUUUAGUAG